rnacentral:rRNA from 1 species
GUUGCAAAAGAAGUAGGUAGCUUAACCUUCGGGAGGGCGCUUACCACUUUGUGAUUCAUGACUGGGGUGAAGUCGUAACAAGGUAACCGUAGGGGAACCUGCGGUUGGAUCACCUCCUUACCAAAAAGAUGUGUGUUAAGUGAAGUGCUCACACAGAUUGUCUGAUGAA